GAUCAUGGCUCGGGAUGAACGCUAGCUACAGGCUUAACACAUGCAAGUCGAGGGGAAACGGACAUCGAAAGCUUGCUUUUGAUGGGCGUCGACCGGCGCACGGGUGAGUAACGCGUAUCCAACCUGCCCACCACUUGGGGAUAACCUUGCGAAAGUAAGACUAAUACCCAAUGAUAUCUCUAGAAGACAUCUGAAAGAGAUUAAAGAUUCAUCGGUGAUGGAUGGGGAUGCGU
rnacentral:rRNA from 1 species